rnacentral:rRNA from 1 species
CCUACGGGUGGCAGCAGUGAGGAAUAUUGGUCAAUGGGCGCUAGCCUGAACCAGCCAAGUAGCGUGAAGGAUGACUGCCCUAUGGGUUGUAAACUUCUUUUAUAUGGGAAUAAAGUGCAGUAUGUAUACUGCUUUGCAUGUACCUUAUGAAUAAGGAUCGGCUAACUCCGUGCCAGCAGCCGCGGUAAUACGGAGGAUUCGAGCGUUAUCCGGAUUUAUUGGGUUUAAAGGGAGCGUAGGCGGGUUGUUAAGUCAGUUGUGAAAGUUUGCGGCUCAACGGUAAAAUUGCAGUUGAUACUGGCAGCGUGGAGUAGAGGAGAGGUAGGCGGAAUUCGUGGUGUAGCGGUGAAAUGCUGAGAUAUCACGAAGAAGUCCGAUUGCGAAGGCAGCCUGCUGGACUGUAACUGACGCUGAUGCGCGAAAGUGUGGGUAUCAAACAGGAGUAGAUACCCGUGUAGUC